AGGACGAACGCUGGCGGCGUGCUUAACACAUGCAAGUCGAGCGGAAAGGCCCUUCGGGGUACUCGAGCGGCGAACGGGUGAGUAACACGUGAGUAAUCUGCCCCUAGCUCUGGGAUAGCUCCGGGAAACCGGGAUUAAUACCAGAUACGACCACUUUAGACAUCUGUUGUGGUGGAAAGAAUUUUGGCUAGGGAUGAGCUCGCGGCCUAUCAGCUUGUUGGUGAGGUAACGGCUCACCAAGGCGACGACGGGUAGCCGGCCUGAGAGGGCGACCGGCCACACUGGGACUGAGACACGGCCCAGACUCCUACGGGAGGCAGCAGUGGGGAAUAUUGCGCAAUGGGCGAAAGCCUGACGCAGCGACGCCGCGUGGGGGAUGAAGGCCUUCGGGUUGUAAACCCCUUUCAGCAGGGACGAAGCGAAGUGACGGUACCUGCAGAAGAAGCGCCGGCUAACUACGUGCCAGCAGCCGC
rnacentral:rRNA from 1 species